rnacentral:rRNA from 1 species
ACACUCCUGCGGGAGGCAGCAGUGGGGAAUAUUGGACAAUGGGCGCAAGCCUGAUCCAGCCAUGCCGCGUGAGUGAUGAAGGCCCUAGGGUUGUAAAGCUCUUUCACCGGUGAAGAUAAUGACGGUAACCGGAGAAGAAGCCCCGGCUAACUUCGUGCCAGCAGCCGCGGUAAUACGAAAGGGGCUAGCGUUGUUCGGAUUUACUGGGCGUAAAGCGCACGUAGGCGGACUAUUAAGUCAGGGGUGAAAUCCCGGGGCUCAACCCCGGAACUGCCUUUGAUACUGGUAGUCUUGAGUUCGAGAGAGGUGAGUGGAAUUCCGAGUGUAGAGGUGAAAUUCGUAGAUAUUCGGAGGAACACCAGUGGCGAAGGCGGCUCACUGGCUCGAUACUGACGCUGAGGUGCGAAAGCGUGGGGAGCAAACAGGAUUAGAAACCCUAGUAGUCCCCAUGA